rnacentral:rRNA from 1 species
GACAGAGGGUGCAAACGUUGCUCGGAAUCACUGGGCGUAAAGGGCGUGUAGGCGGGAAGGAAAGUCAGAUGUGAAAUCCCUGGGCUCAACCCAGGAACUGCAUUUGAAACUCCCUUUCUUGAGUACCGGAGAGGAAGGUGGAAUGCCUGGUGUAGAGGUGAAAUUCGUAGAUAUCAGGCGGAACACCAGUGGCGAAGGCGGCCUUCUGGACGGUAACUGACGCUGAGGCGCGAAAGCGUGGGGAGCAAACAGG